CGGACGUGGCGGAAUUUGGUAUACGCGCAGGCUUGAGGUGCCUGUGGGGGAAACCCUGUGGAGGUUCAAGUCCUCUCNNA
rnacentral:tRNA from 1 species